UACGUAGGAUGCAAGCGUUGUCCGGAAUUAUUGGGCGUAAAGCGCACGUAGGCGGCAUUGCAAGUCGGAUGUGAAAUCCCUCGGCUUAACCAAGGAAGUGCAUCCGAAACUGCAGUGCUUGAGUACUUAAGAGGAUCGCGGAAUUCCCGGUGUAGUGGUGAUAUGCGUAGAUAUCGGGAGGAACACCAGUGGCGAAGGCGGCUUUCUGGGCCUUACCUGACGCUGAGACGCGCAAGCGUGGGGAGCGAACCGG
rnacentral:rRNA from 1 species